AUUGAACGCUGGCGGCAUGCUUUACACAUGCAAGUCGAACGGUAACAGGCCUUCGGGUGCUGACGAGUGGCGAACGGGUGAGUAAUGCAUCGGAACGUGCCCAGAGGUGGGGGAUAACGCAGCGACAGCUGUGCUAAUACCGCAUGUGAUCUGAGGAUGAAAGCGGGGGACCAAGCAGCAAUGUUUGGCCUCGCGCCUCUGGAGCGGCCGAUGUCAGAUUAGGUAGUUGGUGGGGUAAAGGCCUACCAAGCCGACGAUCUGUAGCUGGUCUGAGAGGACGACCAGCCACACUGGGACUGAGACACGGCCCAGACUCCUACGGGAGGCAGCAGUGGGGAAUUUUGGACAAUGGGCGCAAGCCUGAUCCAGCAAUGCCGCGUGCGGGAAGAAGGCCUUCGGGUUGUAAACCGCUUUUGUACGGAACGAAAAGGCUCUGGCUAAUACCUGGGGCUGAUGACGGUACCGUAAGAAUAAGCACCGGCUAACUACGUG
rnacentral:rRNA from 1 species